CCUACGGGAGGCAGCAGUGAGGAAUAUUGGUCAAUGGGCGAGAGCCUGAACCAGCCAAGUCGCGUGAGGGAGUACUGCCCUAUGGGUUGUAAACCUCUUUUGUCGGGGAGCAAAAGCCGGACGUGUCCGGCUGUGAGAGUACCCGACGAACAAGCAUCGGCUAACCCCGUGCCAGCAGCCGCGGUAAUACGGAGGAUGCGAGCGUUAUCCGGAUUUAUUGGGGUUAAAGGGUGCGCAGGCGGAUUUUUAAGUCAGCGGUCAAAUCGUGGGGCUCAACCCCAUCCAGCCGUUGAAACUGGGGAUCUAGAGUGUGCGAGAGGUAUGCGGAAUGCGUGGUGUAGCGGUGAAAUGCAUAGAUAUCACGCAGAACCCCGAUUGCGAAGGCAGCAUACCGGUGCACAACUGACGCUCAGGCACGAAAGCGUGGGUAUCGAACAGGAUUAGAUACCCCGGUAGUC
rnacentral:rRNA from 1 species